rnacentral:rRNA from 1 species
ACAGAGGGUGCGAGCGUUGUCCGGAAUCACUGGGCGUAAAGGGCGCGUAGGUGGCUUGGUAAGCGUGUGGUGAAAGUCCGGGGCUCAACCCCGGAUCUGCCGUGCGAACUGCCGAGCUUGAGCAUUGUAGAGGCAGGUGGAAUUCCGGGUGUAGCGGUGGAAUGCGUAGAGAUCCGGAAGAACACCAGUGGCGAAGGCGGCCUGCUGGGCAAUUGCUGACACUGAGGCGCGACAGCGUGGGGAGCAAACAGGAUUAGAUACCCUGGUAGUCCACGCCGUAAACGAUGGGUACUAGGUGUCUGGGGGAGCGACCCCCUGGGUGCCGGCGCUAACGCAUGAAGUACCCCGCCUGGGGAGUACGACCGCAAGGUUG